rnacentral:rRNA from 1 species
CCUACGGGAGGCAGCAGUGAGGAAUAUUGGACAAUGGGCGCAAGCCUGAUCCAGCCAUGCCGCGUGCAGGAUGACGGUCCUAUGGAUUGUAAACUGCUUUUAUACGAGAAGAAACACUCCGACGUGUCGGAGCUUGACGGUAUCGUAAGAAUAAGGAUCGGCUAACUCCGUGCCAGCAGCCGCGGUAAUACGGAGGAUCCAAGCGUUAUCCGGAAUCAUUGGGUUUAAAGGGUCCGUAGGCGGUUUAAUAAGUCAGUGGUGAAAGCCCAUCGCUCAACGGUGGAACGGCCAUUGAUACUGUUAAACUUGAAUUAUUAGGAAGUAACUAGAAUAUGUAGUGUAGCGGUGAAAUGCUUAGAGAUUACAUGGAAUACCAAUUGCGAAGGCAGGUUACUACUAAUUGAUUGACGCUGAUGGACGAAAGCGUGGGUAGCGAACAGGAUUAGAUACCCUGGUAGUCCACGCCGUAAACGAUGGAUACUAGCUGUUGGGAGCAAUCUCAGUGGCUAAGCGAAAGUGAUAAGUAUCCCACCUGGGGAGUACGUUCGCAAGAAUUGAAAACUCAAAAGUAGUAAGUUACGGACGGNGAGAGAGACGACGACGGACGACGAGGAGGAGGAG